rnacentral:rRNA from 1 species
AUUGAACGCUGGCGGCAGGCCUAACACAUGCAAGUCGAGCGGAUGAAGAGAGCUUGCUCUCUGAUUUAGCGGCGGACGGGUGAGUAAUGCCUAGGAAUCUGCCCGAUAAAGGGGGAUACCAGUUGGAAACGACUGUUAAUACCGCAUAAUGUCUACGGACCAAAGUGUAGGACCUUCGGGCCACAUGCUAUCGGAUGCGCCUACGUGGGAUUAGCUAGUUGGUGAGGUAAUGGCUCACCAAGGCGACGAUCUCUAGCUGGUUUGAGAGGAUGGUCAGCCACACUGGAACGGAGACACGGUCCAGACUCCUACGGGAGGCAGCAGUGGGGAAUAUUGGACAAUGGGCGCAAGCCUGAUUCAGCCAUGCCGCGUGUGUGAGGAAGGCCUUCGGGUUGUAAAGCACUUUCAGCGAGGAGGAAGGGUGGUGUGUUAAUAGCACAUCAUUUUGACGUUACUCGCAGAAGAAGCACCGGCUAACUCUGUGCCAGCCGCCGCAGUAACAC